UCUCCGUAGGUGAACCUGCGGAGGGAUCAUUACCGAGUGCAAACUCAUAACCCCUUGUGCACCUAUAUCUGUUGUUUCGGCGGCCCACUCCCGCGCGUGCCCACCGGUAAUCUCAGUAUCUUUGUUUGAACCCGGCGAUACUUCUGAGUGUGCUUAGCGAACAGAUUAUACUAUUAACUACGGACCUCUUGGCUCUAGCAUACAUGAAGAACGCAGCAGAUUGGAAGAGCCCACGUAAGAACUUCCGUCAGCAGUCGUCAACUCGUGUGCCGCCUUGAA
rnacentral:misc_RNA from 1 species